AGAUGCCAGGAAAACGAAGCGAAGCCCAUCGAGAGCAUCUUUGAUCUGGCUGAGAUGAGCAUCGAUGAGAUGCGGGACCUGCUGCAGCUGUCAAACUCUGAGCUGCAGGACGUGGUCCAGUUCUUCAAGCGGUUCCCCAACGUCGACAUGACCUAUGAAGUCCGUGAGGGCGACGACAUAAGGGCCGGUGACAAUGUGACCUUGCAGGUGACUCUGGAGCGUGACAUGACCAACCUGCCCAACUCUGAGGUGGGCCCGGUUCACGCACCCAGGUUCCCCAAGACCAAGGAGGAAGGGUGGUGGCUGGUGGUCGGCGACAGCUCCACCAAGCAGCUGCUGGCGAUCAAGAGGGUCACCCUCCAGAAGAGGGCCCGUGUGAAGCUCGAGUUCACCGCUGCCACAGAGCCAGGGAGCAAGGACUACAUGAUCUACCUGAUGUCGGACUCGUACCUCGGCUGCGACCAGGAGUACGAGUUCACCGUCGACAUCAAGGAAGCUGGAGGCGACUAAUUUCGAACACCUGGAACUCUUUUCUAUACUGGGUUUUUGCUCUUAUUAUGCAGAGAAUAUUAUGUGACCUGAAACUUAUUAUCAUCCCCUUGUCUGUAAUGUAACACAUGAAGUUUAGCUUUGAUUCAGUGUAACCAACCUGAUGCACACGUACGUUAUUGUGUUUUUGUAUGGCAACGAGGAGGAUCUGCACUGGUUGCUGAUGAUGUUUUGCUGAUGUUCUUAUGUGAUGUUUCUUGGAUCUGAUUUGUCGGUGAUUGACAACCGUUACCGUAGAGCCUGAUAAACAUGUUAUUGUGUUUUUGUCAGUGAAGAUAUAAAUUGAUCCACAAGGCAUUUUGUCUCACCGUUGCCUUGGUGGUA
rnacentral:lncRNA from 1 species